GUCGGGCGGUAACAGGGGUAGCUUGCUACCUCGCUGACAAGCGUCGGCCGGGUGAGUAAUGCAUAGGAAUCUGCCCGAUAGUGGGGGAUAACCUGGGGAAACCCAGGCUAAUACCGCAUACGUCCUACGGGAGAAAGGGGGCUUCGGCUCCCGCUAUUGGAUGAGCCUAUGUCGGAUUAGCUAGUUGGUGAGGUAAAGGCUCACCAAGGCAACUGAUCCUGUAGCUGGUCUGAGAGGAUGAUCAGCCACAUCGGGACUGAGACACGGCCCGAACUCCUACGGGAGGCAGCAGUGGGGAAUAUUGGACAAUGGGGGCAACCCUGAUCCAGCCAUGCCGCGUGUGUGAAGAAGGCCCUCGGGUUGUAAAGCACUUUCAGCGAGGAAGAACGCCUAUCGGUUAAUACCCGGUAGGAAAGACAUCACUCGCAGAAGAAGCACCGGCUAACUCCGUGCCAGCAGCCGCGGUAAUACUGAGGGUGCAAGCGUUAAUCGGAAUUCUGGGCGUAAGGCGCGCGUA
rnacentral:rRNA from 1 species